GGAGCUAUUUAAAAAAAUAAACAUUUUUGAGAAUAAAGAUAGAGUCCAUAUUCUCAAUUGAAUAUGAAAAUCUGUUGGUUCUUUGAACCGUGAGGGUUCAAGUCCCUCUAUCCCCA
rnacentral:tRNA from 1 species